rnacentral:rRNA from 1 species
CCUACGGGGGGCUGCAGUAGGGAAUCUUCCACAAUGGGCGAAAGCCUGAUGGAGCAACGCCGCGUGGGUGAAGAAGGUCUUCGGAUCGUAAAACCCUGUUGGUAGAGAAGAAAGUGCGGGAGAGUAACUGUUCACGUGUCGACGGUAUCUAACCAGAAAGCCACGGCUAACUACGUGCCAGCAGCCGCGGUAAUACGUAGGGGGCAAGCGUUAGCCGGAUUUAUUGGGCGUAAAGGGAACUCAGGCGGUCUUUUAAGUCUGAUGUGAAAGCCUUCGGCUUAACCGGAGUAGUUCAUUGGAAACUGGGAGACUGGAGUGCAGAAGAGGAGAG